CCGAGUAAGAGCGCGGAAGGAGAGGGGGUAAUAAGGAGUGGGAAAUGAGUAAGCGGAAUUAUGGGUCGUAAAGGGCGCGUAGGCGGAAAGUCAAGGCAGGUGUGGAAUACCGGGGCUCAACCUCGGUGCUGCAUUUGAGACUGUCGUUCUAGAGGGUAGGAGGAGAAAAUGGAAGUCCAAAAGUAGCGGUGAAAUGCGUAGAUAUGUGGAAGAACACCGGUGGCGAAGGCGGUUUUCUAUCUUAUUCCUGACGCUGAGGCGCGAAAGCAAGGGGAUCAAACAGGAUUAGAACCCGGUAGUC
rnacentral:rRNA from 1 species